GGGGGCGUACCGGUUUCGACGGGGACGCGGAGGCGGGAAUAGCGGGCGGAUGCGCCCAGCAUCCUUAAAAUGGGCAUUCUUUAUAAAUUAAAGAACAACAACGAUUACGAACUCGUCGCGGCCUGAUUAGCCCGCGGCCGUCUCAGCCGGAAGGCCCACGAGCCGGUAUGAGGCGUCGUUUUAGUGGGGACCGUGCGUGCGCAAAGCUUUGAGCGCACCAUGAACCAUGAAGCUACCGACCCUUAGAGCGUGACGGCUCGCGCUCUGGGAAGGGAAUCUCAAUAAACCGUCUGCGCCCGGAGAAGUUCCCGUCAAAACGUUUUCGGACGGGGGUUCGACUCCCCCCGCCUCCACCA
rnacentral:tmRNA from 1 species